ACUGAGAAACAAUAACAAACAUUUAAAUGGUGAAUUCCACUGAAAAGAAUUGACUUAGGAAAUGAAGGCUACAAAGAUGGACCUCCAAUUCAGUUCCAAAGAUGGAAAGAAAACUUGCAGUUGGGAAAAUAGCUACCAAUACCUGGGAAAAUAUGACAAGUGCCAUGUGAUCCAAGAAGAGAGAAGUGACUACAGGAGUUGUGAUGAUAUACUUGGCUAGGUGAGGCAAUGCUAUAGAUGACAGAGAAAAAAACAGCUGAGGACAACUGCCUCCCAUACAUAGGGUCAUCUUCCAGCUUCCCAAAGCAAAAUUUUAUCCAGUACUCAAAAAUUCUGAAGAUACUAUGAAAUGAUACAUAUCCUGUUUGCAGGUGAGGAAGAUACCAGCUUUCAGCUCAGCUUUACACUUUAAAGAUGCCUCACUAAGAAAAGGACAAAGGCUCUGCCAUCCACCUGUCAUUAUGACCCAGGAAGGUUCAUAAUUGAGAGGAAGCAGUGACAUUUUCAAUAGACUGUGUUUCCAUCUCAACUACUCCAAACAAGGAAUCACAAGUUCCAAUUCCAGGAGAGUUGGGUCAGACUUUCAUCUCUGGGAGCCAAGAGAGUAAGUGUCAUAAGAACAACUUGGUGCUUUGGGAUGUGACUUUUAAAACCAAAGGACAAAUGUGCACAUUUCAAGAGACUUGUGGGAUAUCCCUGGUGGGAUAGUUGCCUCUUCAACAAAGUAAAAGUUAUAU